UCACCACUCUAGGUCACUUAUUAAACUAGCUUUGCCGGGGGAAGGGGCCACUUCGAGUGGAGAGGAUGCUUCACCAGCCUGCAAUGUGACAAGAGGAAGGGAAGCACAGGGACAGGGACUCCCCCACCGUGAUUCAAGAUGGACUCGAGGGGAAUGCCUCAAGACCUAAGGUUGAGGAGGACCAGGCAGAGGGUCGGACCUGAAGAUCUGCAAGGUCCCUUCCGACCCUACUUCUGUGUUGCUGUGAUUUCCUCUCCUACCUAUAGUGUCAAUGGCUAUCAUCUGAUAACCUACCUUAUUAAUGAAGAUCAAAGUAAAGAAGAAAAGGACCUUGAACUGUAUCAUUUCAUGGUUACUGUCACCCAAUUCUAUGUUCAGCCUUCCUAUGCUUAACUGACUCCUCCCUGUUGGCGAGCAGAAAAAAAAAAUUGGGAAGGAAGUUGGCCUCUCCACCACCUUAGCACACUUCAAGGAUGUGAUAGACUAUUUGUGCACUGCUGCAUUUUCUUCCCAGAUUCCAGUUUGGGCAGCUGCUGAAGAUCAGUGAAGAUCAUCACAAAGCCCAAAGUUUAAUGAAAUUUUAAUGUACUUUAACUCUAGAAAAUGAGUUCUUCAUUAAUUGUAUCUUGUUCUCUUCCAAUUAAAAAAGUUCCAUUCUUCCAAUCAGAAAGCAGGAACGAUGGCUUGGACCAAUCAUGGGUUCUUAACAAUGAAUAGCCCCUUAAACAGUUCACAGACAUUACAUAAUGAGAGGUCUGUGCAUGAAGCCCUCAGUGAACUGGCAAGCAGGUUUCACCCUCAGCUGCUCCUAGUUGGUUCACCUCGCCCCCUGUGUACUCCAACAGCUUUGCAAGCAGAAAUCAUGAUUUAGGGGCAAUGUGUUUAUUAAUGUAUGUAGCAAAUUUGUAAUGUAAUGCAGGUUACUUUUGCAACCAACCAGGGAAACAGAGACAGUCUGCAUAAUCAAAACACUUUUGCUACACAGCGAGCAUCCUAGGUUUUGAUCUGGUGAAAUAAAAAGGUUUCUGAGCCAGG